rnacentral:rRNA from 1 species
AUAUCACUAGGCGGAGGAAAAGAAACUAACAAGGAUGUCCUUAGUAACGGCGAGUGAAGCGGAUAAAGCUCAAAUUUAAAAUCGUAAGGUCCUUCUUCACCUCUUAGUGAAUUGGGCCUUGUGAAUUGUAGUUUUUCGAUCGGUUGUCACUUUAGCAACACUUUCAUAAAUUGGGUCUAAGUUAUUUGGAAUGAUACAUCAUAGAGGGUGACAAUCCCGUAUUCUUACCCAGGUGUUGCUUUAACACGUGUCAGCCUUUUGAUGAGUCGGGUUGUUUGGGAUUGCGCAAGCU